GAUGAUAAUAGCGUUUUGGACCCACCUGACCCCAUGCCGAACUCAGAAGUGAAACGAAACAGCGUCGAUGAUAGUGUGGCUUUGCCAUGUGAA
rnacentral:rRNA from 1 species